UUCCUCCACGGGAGGUCCUACGGGAGGCUGCACUGGGGAGUKGCAACCAAUGGRWAUAAGUCUCAAGCAGCAACACCGCGASAAGGAUGUAGCSCGUUGGUUUCUAAASUUHUGUCAUUGGAGAAGAAAUGCCCGURAGGGAGAUGWCGGUAYCCCCAAAGGAAGCACCGGCUAAAUCCGUGCCAGCACCCGCGGUAAUACGGAGGGUGCAAGCGUUGUUCUGAAUUAUUGGGCGUAAAGCGCGCGUAGACGGUGUGUUAAGUCUGGUGUGAAAKCCCUGGGCUCAACCCAGGAAGUGCAUUUGAUACUGUCAGACUUGAGWVUGGGAGAGGGGUGAGGAAUUYUGAGWGUAUAGGUGAAAUACGUAGAUAUUUKGAGGAACACCACWGGCGAAGRCGGSUUUCUGGGGCUAUUCUGACGCUGAGACGCGAAAGMGUGGGGAGCACACACGAUUAGAUACCCCGGUAGU
rnacentral:rRNA from 1 species